GGACCAGACUCCUACGGGAGGCAGCAGUGAGGAAUAUUGGUCAAUGGGCUUACGCCUGAACCAGCCAAGUCGCGUGAGGGAAGACUGCCCUAUGGGUUGUAAACCUCUUUUGUCAGGGAGCAACGCCGGCUACGUGUAGCCGGACUGAGAGUACCUGAAGAAAAAGCAUCGGCUAACUCCGUGCCAGCAGCCGCGGUAAUACGGAGGAUGCGAGCGUUAUCCGGAUUUAUUGGGUUUAAAGGGUGCGUAGGCGGGCUUUUAAGUCAGCGGUAAAAAUUCGGGGCUCAACCCCGUCCGGCCGUUGAAACUGGGUGCCUUGAGUGGGCGAGAAGUAUGCGGAAUGCGUGGUGUAGCGGUGAAAUGCAUAGAUAUCACGCAGAACUCCGAUUGCGAAGGCAGCAUACCGGCGCCCGACUGACGCUCAGGCACGAAAGCGUGGGUAUCGAACAGGAUUAGAUACCCGUGUA
rnacentral:rRNA from 1 species